CCUACGGUGGUCUGCAGUAGUGAAUCUUCCACAAUGGACGACAGUCUGAUGGAGCAACGCCGCGUGAGUGAAGAAGGGUUUCGGCUCGUAAAGCUCUGUUGGUAGUGAAGAAAGAUAGAGGUAGUAACUGACCUUUAUUUGACGGUAAUUACUUAGAAAGUCACGGCUAACUACGUGCCAGCAGCCGUGGUAAUACGUAGGAGGCAAGCGUUGUCCGGAUUUAUUGGGCGUAAAGCGAGUGCAGGGAGUUCAAUAAGUCUGAUGUGAAAGCCUUCGGCUCAACCGGAGAAUUGCAUCAGAAACUGUUGAACUUGAGGGCAGAAGAGGAGAGUGGAACUGCAUGUGUAGCGGUGGAAUGCGGAGAUAUAUGGAAGAACACCAGUGGCGAAGGCGGCUCUCUGGUCUGCAACUGACGCUGAGGCUCGAAAGCAUGGGUAGCGAACAGGAUGAGAUACCCGAGUAGUC
rnacentral:rRNA from 1 species